UCACUAUUACUUGACAUUAUCUGACUAUACAACUCUUUAAUCUGCCUCCUCGACUGGGAUAUUGGCUCCACAAUGGCAUGGAUGUUAUGAUGAUUACUACAGUGUAACAGCACCCUGAAAAGAUUUGGACAAACAGACACUGCGACAAAGAUUUGAGCAGACUUUAUCUGAGAGGCAAUCUCAGGAAGCACAAGUUGAUGGAAUGGUGACAGAGGAGCCAAUAACGAUUUCCAGGAAGCAAAGGUAGUAUCUGCGCACAGAGGAUUUGUUGCUGAGAAGUGCUGUUGGAUAUACUCCCAGAUCUGCGAAGAGGUUCUUCCUAACCUGUCUUGAUCUGGAGACGCUUCUUUAUUCUCCCAGGUCCAUCAGAACCAGAAAGGCAAGUAAAAGUAUUCAGCAGAGGGUGAACAAUGGCUUGGUCAAGAUACAAAGAAGGUGAAAAGAAGCCUUAAAAACCUCACAAUUGGAAGAUGUAAUUUAUUCUUGGGACACCUGGUAUCAGGGAAAUGCAUGAGAACUGAGAGAUGGAAGAUUUAGACAUAAUAUAUUAACAUCAAACUACGUUCAGCUUCUUCGAAUAGUCUGGAUUUCCCCAGGAGUUAGUGACUUCUUGGUAACAGAGAUGAUCGAGAAGAUAUUUGAUGGUCAUUUGUAGGUGUACAAUACAGUGAUUCAACAAUUCUAUAC